CAUACCUAUUCGAAGGGAUAGGGUCGGUUUGGCCGGAUCUCACACAGGUGUUGCAUGGCUGUCGUCAGCUCGUGUCGUGAGGUGUUGGGUUAAGUCCCGCAACGAGCGCAACCCUCAUCCUUAGUUACCAUCAGGUUAUGCUGGGGACUUUAAGGAAACUGCCAGUGAUAAACUGGAGGAAGGUGGGGAUGAUGUCAAGUCAUCAUGGCCCUUAUGGAGUGGGCUACACACGUGCUACAAUGGUGAUUACAAUGGGCUGCAAGGUCGCAAGGCUGAGCUAAUCCUAAAAAAUCAUCUCAGUUCGGAUUGUUCUCUGCAACUCGAGAGCAUGAAGUUGGAAUCGCUAGUAAUCGUGGAUCAGCAUGCCACGGUGAAUACGUCCUCGGGUCUUGUACGCACUGCCCGUCACGCCAUGGGAAUUGGUUUCACUCGAAGCU
rnacentral:rRNA from 1 species